AGCAACCGUGACCGCAGGGAGCGCCUCCGGCAGCUGGCCCUGGAGACCAUCGACAUCAACAAGGACCCGUACUUCAUGAAGAACCACCUGGGCUCCUAUGAAUGCAAACUCUGCCUGACACUUCACAACAAUGAGGGGAGCUACCUGGCACAUACGCAGGGGAAGAAGCACCAGACCAACCUGUGAGUACCUCAUGUCCCUUUGAUGCCUGGUGCUCCAGCAGCCGUUGGCUCAAGUCUCUGUGAGCCUCGCGGGCCACUGCUCCACAGCCGGGGAGCCAGCCUGGCCUGAGCCUCCCUGGGCGCUUGAGUACGGUUCCUGGGGAGCAUUAGAGAACAGAGGCAUGGAUGGCUGAGGCGGGCAGAUCACUUGAGGUCAGGAGUUCGAGACCAGCCUGGCCAACAUUGUGAAACUCCAUCUCUACUAAAAAUACAAAAAUUAGGCCAGGCAUGGUGGCACACGUCUGUAAUCACAGCUACUAUGGAGGCUGAGGCAGGAGAAUCUUGAAUCUGGGAGGCAGAGAUUGCAGUGAACCAAGGUGCUGCCACUGUACUCCAUCCUGGGCGACAGAGUGAGACUCUUGUCUUAU
rnacentral:lncRNA from 1 species